GACGAACGCUGGCGGCGUGCUUAACACAUGCAAGUCGAACGGAAAGGCCCUGCUUUUGUGGGGUGCUCGAGUGGCGAACGGGUGAGUAACACGUGAGUAACCUGCCCUUGACUUUGGGAUAACUUCAGGAAACUGGGGCUAAUACCGGAUAGGAGCUCCUGCUGCACGGUGGGGGUUGGAAAGUUUCGGCGGUUGGGGAUGGACUCGCGGCUUAUCAGCUUGUUGGUGGGGUAGUGGCUUACCAAGGCUUUGACGGGUAGCCGGCCUGAGAGGGUGACCGGCCACAUUGGUACUGAGAUACGGCCCAGUCUCCUACGGGAGGCAGCAGUGGGGAAUAUUGCACAAUGGGCGGACGCCUGAUGCAGCAGCGCCGCGUGCGGGAUGACGGCCUUCGGGUUGUAAACCGCUUUCGCCUGUGCCGAAGCGUGAGUGACGGUACUGGGUCAAGAAGCACCGGCUAACUACGUG
rnacentral:rRNA from 1 species